CCUGGGUUGAUAACAGUUUCGUCGAUGAACCUUUGGAUUGCACUCAUGAACUUUUUGCCAUCCCCCGAGCUUGUAAGCAAUUCAAGAACACGAAAAGGUAAUUGGUUUUCCAACAAGAACAGAUCCGAGUACACAAAUGUCAGCAAAUCGUCUUUAAUAAACAAUUUACCAUCAUUAUCAUCACCAUCAUCACCGUAACGCCUGUAAACUGCUUGUAAAAUUGCGCAGCCGUCAACGAAGAAAAUCCAAGCCAGUUUCUCGUUAUCGUUGCUAUACUUCUCUAAUUCCUGUGGAUCAUAGCAUUUCCUCAAGCCAUCGAUCUCUUUCUUCAUGUUUCUGUACAAGGAAUCCUUACCAAUUUUUUUGACGAAAAGUGCUGCUAAUUUGAGCUUGAGCUUCUCGGAUUUAUGGAAGGUGGGAUCAUCGUGGUGGAGUGGGCCGAUUGAGAUCACUUUCGGCUUGAAAUACUUACUGAAAUCUUCGUGACGACCAAGGGUUGAUGGAACUCUUUGUAUCAAUGGUUUGGCACGGAGGUCGAUUUCGUCGCCGUCGAAAGCUUCGUCUAAUGACCGGAGAUUCACUACUUCGCCAACGCUGAGAGGGACGUCCAUAUCAAUGCUCACGGAAUCGUUGUUGUCGGUGAUUGUUUGAUCAGUGGGAGCUGCUCCGACGGCGCCGCCUCCUUCCUCCGUGGAGGACAUUUUCAGGCUGAGCGGUUGGAAGUAAUAAACAAGGUGAUUUUGUAAACUGUUUUUGGCAGAGUGAGUGAUGUUGGAGAAAAGGUAGCAAAGUGGAUAAGAUGAUGACAAAUAUUUUGUAGCUUACAUGAUAAACAUAUAUGGGAAAUACUUAAGGCGUUAGUGUUUAUAUUUUUACUAAUAUAAACAAUGAUAAAAAAGAAAAGUUAAAUAGUGACAAAUACUAAAAUUGAGAAUAAUAUUAUGGAACCUAAAUACUCAACACUACUCAAAACCUUCGCCUUUAACCAAGAAACUAAGACCCUAUCUGAGGGAGAAUUUUAUAUCUACAACACUUCCUAAAUUUCAUUAGCUUAAUAAUAGCUAUUCAAAUAUAUUUUUUCAUUUUAUUACUGACUUUAAUAUUUAAAUUAUCAUUAUAUUACAUGAUUUAUUCCAAAUAUUUACAUAUAGUAAUUGCAUCUUUAAAUAUAGUAAUUGCAUUUGUUAUUCUACCUAACUCAUGAAAAAUCUCAAAUUUGCAACAUCUUAUAUGCAAACCAACUUAAAUAGAUCACAUUCCAACUUUCUAAAUGCAUCAAAUAUUUCAUAGCAAAGAUCAUGCCAAGAACCCACAUGCAAAGUCAUUAUGUACCACAUUUAACUCAAUCGGACUUUUACACAACUAAAGAUUACUCCAAACGUUUAUAUGCAUGUCGCAAUCCUUGACUCAAAUGAUAAAAAAAAAAACACCAAAUUGACAAUAAAAUAAUGUAAGCUUCGAACGAUCCAAUCGACAUGUUCUAGCAUAUAAUAUGUUUAGUAAGCUCAUAUGGAAACUAAAACUUACCUAGAUCAAUUGAACAUAAAAAAUUACUCAAUAAGCUAUCGAAUUAAUUUUUCCCUGACACUUAUAUACAUAUAGUACAUCUAAUAAAAUUUCUGUUAAAGAAAAGCAAUUUGACUCUUUUUCUGAAAAGUUAAUAAUUAAAUUUAGCUCAAAUAAAAAAAAAGAAUAAAAGUCAAAUUGAUAAAAAAAUAUAAAUAUUAAAAAUUAAAUUUAUCAUUAUAUCUUUUUUAAGUAAUUAUUUGUGGUGAGCCAUCAUGUCUGACGAUGAUUUUUAAAUACUGUAUUAAUUAUAUAUAGCACAUCAUAUUUCACUAUAAUUUCUAAAGACUUUUUAAACAUGGGGUUAAUUGUUUAUGGCCCAUUGCCCAUGUUGCUUUUAUUAAAUUUUGGGUGAACUUCUCAUUUUGGUCAAAAAAAAAUUGUAUUCUCAGUAUAAAACAAAAAACUAAUCUUUAAUGUUUAUGGCCAAACCCCACCUCUCCUAUCCUAUAAUAAUGGUUCUUGGCUUCUUCUAUCCUACACCUCAAUUAUUUGGAUUAGAUUGAAAAACAAUUGACACUUGAUUUGAUUGUGAAAUAAAGUUAAAUUUUAAAUUUAUAAUAUUUAACUUGAGUGUGAAUGAAUUUUUGACUUAAUUGAAAAUUUAAAAUUUUAAGUUCGAGUCGUAUUUAAUUAUGUGUGUAUAUAGUGUAUAAAUUUUGUUCAAAUUUAUUUUGAUUUAAUUUUCAUACUAUAUAUUCUUAAUUAAAUUCGGAAUAUAUUUUGAUUAUCAAUUUAAUCCGACGUUGUAACGAUGGAUUAAAAUUAUAGUUAAUUAUAUAUUGAAACUAAAUAAUUAGUUUAAGGAAUUAAAAGAUAUUAUUAUAUUUUAUAAAAUUUGAAUAGAUUCAUAAUUAAUUCGAGAUUAAAAAAUGGGAGAAGAAAAGCUAAAACCAAACCUUUUUUACGGUUGGAACUAAACCCCAUGCGGUGUGAAAAAUUGCAAGUUUCCAGAAUAUACCUACACUUACUAAUUAUAAUAAAUAUCUUUUACUUAGUAAUAAUAAAUAAUAAAUAUAUAUUUACUAAUUAAAUAUAAAUAUUACAAAUGUACAUAUAUUUUGUUUACAAUUGUACAAUAUCAUCACCAUCCACUUGGCAAAUUUGAUUUGUUCAUAUAAUGUUAAUUUAUAACUAAUAUAAAUUACCGUAUAAUAAAAUAAUUAUGUACAUUAUAAUUUAAUAAUAAUUAAACAAUAAAAAUCUUAGAUUUUUUAUCAACAUUUGCCGCCUCAUUUAUGGUGAAUGGUAUAUCUCCCAUUUUGGUCCCCCUUUCUUUUUAUUAAUUCUUUUUCCUAAUUUCUCCUAAUUAAGCUAAAUUCACUUAAUUAAAUCCUAAUUAAACACACAACUAGCCUUACAAAUAUUCUUAAUAAAACAUUUACAAACUCGGUUUACUAAGACAGAAGCCCUAUAACUCACUUUUUCGGUGCCCGUGAAUUUUGGGCCAUUACACAUUCUUCCGUGGACGACAUUUUUAGGCUGAGCGGUUCGAAGUAAUUACCAAGGUGAUUUUGUAAACUGUUUUUGGCUAAGUGAGUGAUGUUGGUGAAAAGGAGGCAAAAUGGCUACAAUGUUUCUAUAGCUUAUAUAAUGAACAUAUGGAAAAUAUUUUUGUGUAAUAUCAAAUUUAGCCCCUAAUAUUUAUAAUUUUACCAAUUUGAUUCUUAUUCUUUUUAGUUAAAUUUAAUUCUCUAUCUUUUGAAAGUGUCAAAUUUGACUACUGAUCUUUUAGAAAAAUCCUGGUAAUCAUCUCUUCUUUCUAAACCCGUCUUUCCUGAUCAAUUAACUGAUCCACUGUUAGGACUAAUUCGUUAAUAGGAUCAGUAUUAACCUUGCUGCCAAACUUUUGUGGCAACCAAUGAUCAUGCCAAAUGGAUAUCCUCUCUCCUGUACCUACUCUCCAUCCUAUCCGUUGCUCCAACAAACCCCUAGCCGCAUAUAUACUUUGCCACGAAUACGAAGGGUAAGAUCCAAGUCUAGCUUCCAAAAAACUUGAAUGAGGAUAGUAUCUUGCUUUAAAAAUUCUAGCUAACAACGAGUCUGAUUUGGUGAUUAACCGUCAUCCUUGUUUAGCUAAUAAAGCGAUAUUAAAUUCCCCAUAUCGCGAAAGUUUAGACCCCCAUUCUCUUUAGCAUGACAUAAAUCAGUCCAGCAAGUCCAGUGCAAACCACGCCUAUUACUUCCCUUUCCCCACCAAAACCGAUUCAUAAUCUUUUCCAUUUCAGCACACAAUGACUUUGGAAGCAAAAAACAAGACAUUGAAAAAAUCGGUAUGGCCUGUAACACUGCUUUGAUGAAGACAUCUUUGCCCCCUUGAGACAACAUUCAACUCCUCCACCCAUCAACUCUUGUUCUCAGCCUAUCACACAAUCUUUGGAAAGCCUCCUUCUUCUUCCUCCCCACCAUUGUAGGUAGAUCCAAAUACUUUUCCAUGCUCGUUACGGACUUAACACCCAAAUAAUUUCUCAACAGCUCUCUAGUUUCUUCAGAACAGUUAGAACUAAAGAAAAUUUGAGAUUUGUCCAAAUUAAUCUUCUAACCUGAUGCUUUCUCAUAGUCAUCAAGAAAUCCCUUCAUUAUCCUACAACCAUCCUCAUUUGCUUCUCCAAAGAUAAUGCUAUCAUCCGCGAAAAACAAAUGAGUUACCCUCGGGCCUCCUCGACAAACACGCGUGCCUUGAAUAAGACCAUCCCUCUUGGCUAGUUUAAGUAAUGUUGAAAAACCUUUAGUACAAAUAAGAAAAAAAUAGGGACUCAAUGGAUCCCUUUGUCUAAGUCCCCGUUCCGGUUGAAAAGGCUCACUCAAACUUUCAUUAAUCGUAACAGCAUAAGAGACCGAAGAAAUAUAAUGAUUUAUCAACUCCACCCAUUUAUCAUCAAACCCCAUACUCCUCAUCAUACCUGUGACAAAUCCCCACUCAACUCUGUCGUAUGGUUUACUCAUAUCAAGCUUUAAAGCAAAAAAAAAAACCCUUCUUCCAUUUCCUUCUUUUCUUAAAAGUGUGUAGGAUUUCAUAAGCCGUAAGGACAUUAUCCGUAAUAAGCCGACCAGGGACAAACGCUCCUUGAGCUUUAUCAAUACAACCAUAUAACACUCUCUUAAAUCUGUUAGCGAUGGCUUUCGCUAUAAUUUUAUAAAGCACCGUACAUAAGCUUAUGGGCUAAAAAUCUGUCAUAUAAUCUGGCGUUGGGACUUUGGGGAUUAAAACAAUCAUUGUAAAAUUAACCUCAUUCAGCUGUUGUUCUCUAUUAAGUACUCUAAGGCAAAAGUUUGUAACAUCCUUACCUACAAUCGCCCAAAAUCUUUGAAGAAACACUGCAUGGAAGCCAUCAAAACCCGGAGCUUUAUUUCCCCCAUCUCCUUAACCACCCUCCUAACUUCAUCAUCUCGGAAAGUGUCCAGCAACAUCCUGUUCAUCUCAAUUGUUAUCGUUUUUUGUACCCCUUCAAAAAAUUUUUGAGCUCCUCUACUUCCCUCACUCGCAAACAGUCCUUUAAAAUAACUGGUUACAAUUCGCAUAAGAUCUUCAUCCGUAUCUUUAAUGGACCAAUUUUGAUCCUUCAGCCUAGCGAUCUUAUUUUUACGAUCUCUUCUUGAGGCAAGAUUGUAGAAAAAACUAGUGUUCCGAUCCCCAUACCUUAACCAAUUCGAUCUAUCCCUUUGCUCCUAAUAGAGCUCUUCCUUAUCGAUCUCGAGAUUCAGUUCUAAUUUAGUCUUAAUCAUAGCCUCGAUAAUGUCAUCUGAAGGAUCUUCCUCAGACAAUUUAUUUAACUGGUCUGACAGCUUCUUCAUAUUCGCACUCCUCUCAUUCUUUAAAUGGCUAGCCCAUCUUCGUAGCCCAUCACCCAUCAGUGUUAAUCUUUCAGGCACUGACACAUUUUUAUUGGAGUCCCACAAAGAUCUAACCUGCUCAUGACAAGAAUUUUCUAACAGCCAAGCAGUUUCAAAACGAAAUAAACACCCUGAAUUUGAAGAAUUACCAUUGCUUGUCGAAAAUUCCAUAUCCAACAACAAAGGACACUGAUCAGAAGUUGAAUUAUCAAUGUGAAAGAGCCGAUAGAACGGAAACAUCUCAAUCCAACCCAAAUUAGCCACUCCCCUAUCAAGCCACUCUCUUAUAUUAUUUGCCUCAAAAUUCCCCCUUUCCCACGUGUACCAUCAGCCGCAAUACCCUAUAUCCACCAGCUCACAAUCUUCCAAAGCUGAUCGAAAAGCCUCUAUUUGCCUUGCUUCCCUCAAUCGACCUCUUUGUUUUUUAGAACUAAAUAAAAUCUCAUUAAAAUCCCCUAUAACAACCCAAGGCAAUUCAUUGUUCGUGCUCAGCUGCUUUAGCAAGUCUCAAGAAAAAUCCCUCCACCGAUAAUCCGGAAUACUGUAGAACCCUGUUAGUCUCCACUUUGUCGCCCCAUCACUAUUAACAAUAACUGCAUCUAUCUGAUUCCCCGAAAAACUUGAGAUGGUAACAUCCACCGAACUAUACCAACUCAAAGAAAGACCCCCUCGUGAUCCUUGAGCUGAAAUAUCCACCCUAUUCACAAAACCAAAUUUCCUUCUUAUUCUUUCCAUUCUCGAUUUCUCUACUUUUGUCUCCAUAAAAAAACAAACUUGGGGACAGUACUUUUUCAGCACAUGUCCGAACAGACCGUGGGUUCCCCAGCCCACGGACGUUCCAACUUAAUAUUUUCAUAAUGCCCGUUUGGUUGAUUUGAUUAACAUCUUCCUUUAAACCAUUUCUCACAUCAUAUCAUCGGUGGUGGAGGUAUUUUGAAUAUUAUUGGGUCUAGGCCUCUUUUUCCCCUCUCCUCCAAUAAUGGGUCGAUCCUCUUCAAUAGACCCAACUUCCAUUAACACCAACUCCUCAUUCACAAUCUGUUUUGACUUUCCAUAUAAAUUCAGCCCCAAAUUCGCUCCAUUAUUCCUCAUUAGAUUUAAUUCCCCCGAAUUCUUUCCUUAUUUGCCUUCAUCAUUUUUAGAAAUUCCCUGAUACCCUCCUCAAAUUUCAGUUGGUUCCCUUAACCAAAUAUUGCCUGUCGUCGCCGCCCUACGUGGAGGAGCUUUGAGCGAGAUAUCCUACUCAAGAGGAAGCUUCUUUCUCCCUGUCACCAUUCGUAUAGGACAACAAUUCUCACUAUGUCCGAGCUUGCCACACAGAAAAUAAAAUGUUGACAACCUUUCAUAUUUGAAAUUAGGAAAGAACUCUUUUUUUGCCAUAAUAAGUUUCUUUCUUCUCUUUAGACUUUGCCGGAUAUCAACUUUAACUCUAAUCUGCAUAUAAUUUCUUAGUCCCGCCAUAAUCGCUUUGACAUCGUACUCCACAAAAGCUCCAAUAAAAUCUCCAAACUGUUUAGCAAUAGCUUCCGUAAAGAAACCAGGUGGCAGAUUAUAAAUUUGAACCCAGAACUCUGUAUAUAAUAAAUCCACUUCCAAGGGAUCUUUGCCUUGUUUUAAGUGAUGAAAAAUAAGUAAAUGGUUGUUAAAAGCCCAAGGAGUGCUUCACUACCCUAUCAAAAUCCAUUUCACAAUAAAAAUUUAAAUAUAGCACAUCAUGUUUGACGAUGAUUUUUAAAUACUGUAUUAAUUGUAUAUAGCACAUCAUGUUUGAAAAUAAUUUCUAAAGACUUUUAAACAUCGCGUUAAUUGUUUAUGGCCCAUUGCCCAUGUUGCUUUUAUUAAAUUUUGGGUAAACUUCAAGUUAAUCAUUUCAUUUUGGUCAAAAAAAUUGCAUGGGAUGAGAGUCUCAGUAUAAAACAAAAACUAAUCUUUAAUGUUUAUGGCCAAACCCCACCCCACCUCUCCUAUCCUAUACUUCAUCUAUAAUAAUGGUUCAUGGCUUCUUCUAUCCUACACCUCAAUUAUUUGGAUUAGAUUGAAAAACAAUUGACACUUGAUUUGAUUGUGAAAUAAAGUUAAAUUUUAAAUUUAUAAUUGUAAUACCCGAUUUUGGCCCGGGUAAAAGGCCCAAAAUAUAAAUGGGUCUGCAAGACCCAAAAUGAACAGAGGCCCAAAUACAGAGGCCCAAAACGAAUGAAAAAACCCUAGGGUUUCUAAGGAUUAACAGCCCCGCAACCAUGUCCUCCACGCAAAUGGGAUCUUCGCAAUUUUCACCUGCAAUCACAAGAAAGGAAAGAAAAUCAAAUCAAAUCAAGCAGAUUUCUUUUAUUAUUUCUUUAUUUCAUUCGGCUAUAAAAUAGCCAUUGCAAUACUAUAACAGGGAUCCCGAUUUGAAAUAAAUAAGAAAAACAUAAUUAUUUGUGCAGCAAAACACAGUUAGUUCAAUAUUCGAAAGAGCAAAAAUCGUUCCAAGGUUGACAGUUAUUUUUUAUUUUUGUUAAUCUACAGUUAUUUCAUUUUAUGUUGUUAUCUAUAUGCUACAAAAAUAAAUAGAAAGAAAAGGAAAGAAUCGACUUGAGUGUUACCCAGAACCGUCGUGAACAGUCAGAAAUCGAAAGGUUUCUCGGUGAUUGGAGGUUCUUACAGCAGUGCUUUGUGGGUUUCGGGUCAAGAUCUGGGUUUAGGGGCUUCAAAGGGACAGAACAGGAGGUGUUCUCCUUUUUUGGCCACCGCAUAUGACGGUACCGCCGUCGGAGAUCGGCGGCCGGCGCGGUGGCUGAUUACCAGCCGAUGGCCGUACUGGAUGCCGGAGAGCGGGGAGGGGAGAGCCUUUUAGAGGAUUUUUUUGUUUUUUUAAAGGAAUGAGAAAAUGAAAUUUUUUAAGGUUUUUUUGGCUUAAAUAGCCUAGUGAAACGGUGCCGUUUCACCAGGCCUCCCCAGAUGCCAAAACGACGUCGUUUUGUGGAGGCCAACCCGACUCUGACCCGACCCGGCCUAGGAUCCGCGUGUUUUAUACGGAAUGUACAUAUUGGGAAUUCAACACGUGUCCUAACGUAUUGGAUGUGACGCAUUGAUUUCUCGAAAUGAAGAUUUUUUCUAAAAAAUAAUAAAGGAAAUAUUCUGAGUUUGGGAUUUUGGAGGAAUUGUGCCCUAACGUAUUGGGCCGCGAUUUCUUAAAUCUUGAAUAAAUGGAUAUUCUUUUAAAUUUUUAUUACACGAGUAUUUUGGCCUAAUUCAUUUUUGAGGAAAUUAGAAUGUCGUGCCCUAACGCAUUGGGUGUGGCAUUUUCUUUUUCUGAAAUGAUAAGGGUCUUAAUACGUAACGUUUUUAAAUUUUUGCUAAGGAUUAUAUAUUUUCAAAUUUUCGACAUUAAGACAUUAAUUAAUUAACUAGGUGCCAAUUUUUGGGCAUUAUGAGGGUGCUAAUCCUUCCUCAUACGUAACUGACUCCCGAAUCCGUUUUUCUGAAACUCGUAGACCAAAGCUAUUUUUUAGGUGAUCCAAUCACACCUUAAUAAAAGAUUGGUGGCGACUCCAAAUUUUUUUUUAAGUCGACAACUAAUUUUUGUUGUUUUCCAAAAAAAAAAUAGUUUCAACAAUAAUAUUUAACUUGAGUGUGAAUGAAUUUUUGACUUAAUUGAAAAUUGAAAAUUUUAAGUUCGAGUCUUAUUUAAUUAUGUGUGUAUAUCAUGUAUAAAUUUUGUUCAAAUUUAUUUUGAUUUAAUUCACAUACAAUAUAUUCUUAAUUAAAUUCGGAAUAUAUUUAUUAUCAAUUUAACCAUACAUUGUAACGAUGGAUUAAAAUUAUAGUUAAUUAUAUAUUGAAACUAAAUAAUUAGUUUAAGGAAUUAAAAGAUAUUAUUAUAUUUUAUAAAAUUUGAAUAUAUUAAUAAUUAAUUCGAGAUUAAAAAAUGGGAGAAGAAAAAGCUAAAACCAAACCUUUUUUACGGUUGGAACUAAACCCCAUGCGGUGUGGAAAAUUGCAAGUUUCCAGAAUACCUACACUUACUAAUUAUAAUAAAUAUCUUUUACUUAUUUAUCUAAUAAAUAUCUUUUACACAGUAGUAAUAAAUAAUAAAUAUAUAUUUAGUAAUUAAAUAUAAGUAUUACAAAUGUACAUAUAUUUUGUUUACAAUUGUACAAUAUCAUCACCAUCCAUUUGGCAAAUUUGAUUUGUUCAUAUAAUAUAAUAUUUUUAAUUUAUAACUAAUAUAAAUUACCAUAUAAUAAAAUAAUUAUAUACAUUAUAAUUUAAUAAUAAUUAAACAAUAAAAAUCUUAGAUUUUUUAUCAACAUUUGCCGCCUCAUUUAUGGUGAAUGGUAUAUCUCCCAUUUUGGUCCCCCUUUCUUUUUAUUAAUUCUUUUUCCUAAUUUCUCCUAAUUAAGCUAAAUUCACUUAAUUAAAUCCUAAUUAAACACACAACUAGCCUCACAAAUAUUCUUAAUAAAACAUUUAUAAACUCGGUUUACUCAGACAGAAGCCCUAUAACUCACUUUUUCGGUGCCCGUGAAUUUUGGGCCAUUACACAUUCUUCCGUGGACGACAUUUUUAGGCUGAGCGGUUCGAAGUAAUUACCAAGGUGAUUUUGUAAACUGUUUUUGGCUAAGUGAGUGAUGUUGGUGAAAAGGUGGCAAAAUGGCUACAAUGUUUCUAUAGCUUAUAUAUAAUGAACAUACGGAAAAUAUUUUUGUGUAAUAUCAAAUUUAACCCUUAAUAUUUAUAAUUUUACCAAUUUGAUUCUUAUUCUUUUUAGUUAAAUUUAAUUCUCUACCUUUUGAAAGUGUCAAAUUUUCUUGGCUGGAAGCUCACUGCAUUGAAGCCAAAAUCAAAACAAACUUUUGAUGGUUUAAUUGUUUUUGAGCCCUUCAAUUUCAGGUGCUAUGAGAAAUGGAUUACAACCUCAUCUUGUCGUUAUCCCAAAAUCAAAACAAGCAACUCUUGGUUGAAAGUUGAAACCAAGGGCCAAGUCAAAAUUGUUUUAGGAUGAGUCCAAAAUGAAUAAUGAAUUUGAAGGUUCAAAAUAAAAUUUUAUUAAUAUAUAAAUUUAUAAUUUCAUAAAUUUUAAAAGGAUUAAAUGAUAAAUUUACUAAUUUAAGAAGACAAUAGGGAUGGUCAAAUAUUCUAAUUGAACCUAUCUGCGAUCGGAUCGGGAUGGAUUUUUUUAAUUAAAAAAAUUAAAUAGAUUGAAUCGAAAUUCUAGGAGUUACAAAAUUCUCAUAAGAGUUUACAAAAAGUACACUUACUUUGGUUGAUGUAUGGUAUAAUAAGCCUGCAAAGCACCGAUAAAAAGUGCACCAAUGGCACCCACAAAUGCGAAAAACGUCCAACGAGUCCUAAAAAAAGUACGGUAAACUUGAGCUGGAUAUCUAAUCCACAUAUUGUUAUGAUGAUCAUGUAUUUGCAGUUUAACAUGUCUGUAAAUCAUCAGACUAGGAACCAAAUCCAUGUUCAUCUUCUUGAUAAGCCACUUCUUUAUCACUCCCAAAUCCAUGGUAUAGUAUGCCUGCGUCUCUCAGUUCCUUAACAUCUUCGGCUUCAUCGAUCAAUGAAUCAAGGAAACCCAUAUAUGAAGUGACGGUGAAAUUGUUGUAGAAAUCCGGACACAUUUCGUAAGCUAUUAAGUUCAUGGUUGAAUCAUCGACGGUGAGAGGCGGUAACCGUAAUUUUCCGACGAAGAAGUAAUGGUUGAAACUGAUGUCAGUUAAACAACUUGUUUCGCUUGCUUCUAACCAUAUCCCGGCGUUUUUAAGCUCUUUUACGUUACGAAACGGGUGUGAAUGGUGCGGUUUUAUUCUUGUAUGGUUUCUGCGAUUUGUGAAGGAUAUGCAAAACCUAGAAUGCCAUGGUUUUUCUUUUUUGAAAAGGAGUCUUACUCGUAGUAGAUGCAAUAAGUGAAUUGGCUCUUUAUUGCUGCGGCCACCAUUCACUAGAGCCAAAUCUGUGUUAGUCAGGAGCCAGCUAAAAUCAAGGUUUUCAAUGGUUGAAUCAAAUCAUUAUUAUUUAAUAAAAAAUUAUUUAAAUUAUUAAAUUACAUUUUAAUCCUUUUAAAAAUUAUUAAAUUAUAAAUUUAUAUACAAUAAAAUUAUAUUUUGACUCCUCAAAAUGAAUAAAAAAUUGUUUAAACACUUUUAAAAAAUGAUGAAAUUAUAAAUUAAUACAUAAAAAAAAAUCUAAAAAUCAAACCAAACUUGUGGAUCGGCCUAAUUAGAUAGAGAAUCGAGCAAGGUACUGAUCCAGAAUAAUAAGUUAAAUCCAUUGAAUCCAAUCAUCGAAUCGAUUUUUUAUAUAUUUUUAAUAUUUUUAAAAAUUUUUAAAAUUUUAUAUAAUUGAAUCGAAUAAACUAAUCAACCAAAAAUGAGACUCUAAUGGAUUCUAUCUAGUUAUAAAAACCUUUUAACAUUUAUAAACUCCACAAAAAUGGUUAAAAAGACUGUUUUCCCAGCUACCCCAAAGUGCUGAUGUGAUUGUGGGUCUUUAACAGUGCCGUUGAUGAACCUUAUGAUUGCCUCCAUGAAUUUUGUGCCAUAGAUGUGAAUCAGUUGGAAAUGAAGGCCUAUGAUAAAGCUAGUUUAUGACAUAAAAGGUUAGGCCAUGUCAAUUAUAGAUCACUCGGUUUGCUGCACAAACUCAUUUUGGUUGAAGACAUGUCCAAGGUUGUAACGCAUAUAAACUGCUUGAAAAAUUGCGCAGCCGUCAACGAAGAACAUCCAAGCCAGUUUCUCGUUAUGGUUACUAUACUUCUCUAAUUCCUUUGGAUCAAAGCAUUUUUCAAGCCAUUCUGUCUUCAUGUUGUUGUACAAGGUAUGCUUAUCGACGCCAAUUUUUUUGACAAAAUGUGCUGCUAAUUUGAGGGGAAAUAGAGAUAUUAUGGAGGGUGGCAUCAUAGUGGUAGAAUGGGCCGAUUGAGAUCACUUUCGGCUUGAAAUACUUACUGAAAUCUUCGUGACGACCAAGGGUUGAUGGGACUUUUCGGAUCAAUGGAUUGCAUGUGCCGUUGGAAGCUUUGACUAAUGACUCGAGAUUCGCUAAUUCGCCCUUCCAGCGUAGCAAGUCAAUACAAAUGCUCACGAAAUCGUUGUUGUUGGUGAUUGUUUGAUCAGUGGAAACUGCUCCGACGGCGCCGCCUCCUUCCUCCGUGGAAGACAUUUUCAGGCUGAGCGGUUGGAAGUAAUAAAGAAGGUGAUUUUGUAAACUGCUUUUGGCUGAGUGAGUGAUGUUGGAGAAAAGGUGGCAAAAUGGCUACGAUGAUGACAAAUAUUUUAUAGCCUACAUGAUAAACAUAUAUGGGAAAUACUUAAGGUGUAAUUCAAAUUUACCCUUAGUGUUUAUAUUUUUACUAUAAUUUUAAUUUUUUAAUUAAAUUUAUUUCUCUUUUGAAAGAGUCAAUGAUAAAAAAAGAAAAGAAAAGUUAAAUUAAUGUUUUUUAACAAAAAUAGUAACAAAUAUUAAAAUUGUGAAUAACAUUAUAGAACUUAAAUACUCAACGCAACUCAAGAAACUAAUGGUGGGUCUGGAUGGGCAGUGCGGUGCGGUGCGUUUAGCCUACUUUUUGUCUCAUGCUACAGUGUUGCUACAGUAUCUAAUCUCACCGCCACCACUGUUUUUACACUAACCACAGGUAAACGCACCGUCCAUCCAAACUCACCCUAAGACCCUAUCAAAGGGAGAAUUUUAUAUCUACAACACUUCCUAAAUUUCAUUAGCUUAAUAAUAGCUAUUCAAUUUUUUUUUUCAUUUUUUUACUUAAAUUAUUUUUACUUACUUUAUAUUAGAUAAAUUAUUCCAAAUAUUUAAUAUUUUACAUAUAAUAAUUGCAUUUGUUAUUCUACCUAACUCAUGAAAAAUCUCAAUUUUGCAACAUCACAUGCCAACCAACCAAUUUAUUAUUCACAUUCCAACUUUCUAAAUGCAUCAAAUAUUUCAUAGCAAAGAUCAUGCCAAGAACCCACAUGCAAAGUCAUUAUAUACCACAUUAAACUACAUUUAACUCAACAAGACUUUUACAUAACCAAAGAUUACUCCAAACGUUUAUACGCAUUGACUCAAAAUGAUAAAAAAUAAACUACCAAAUUGAUGAGAAAAUAGUUUAAGCUUAGAACAAUCCAACCGACGUGUUCUACAAGAUAACAACCUAAAAAAAAAAAAGAAACAAUGAGAUACGCAUAUAAUAUGUUUAGUAAACUCAUAUGAAAAGUAAAACUUACCUAGAUCAAUUGAACAUAAAAAAUUACUCAAUAAGCUAUCGAAUUAAUUUUUCCUUAGCACUUAUAUAUAUAUAGUACAUGUAACAACAUUUCAAGUCAAAAGUGUUAGAUACAAUGUUGAAUCAUAAUCCUGUCAACAUUUAAAACAUAAUCACAUAGCAAUCUAUAUACCAAAUUUCAUCAAUACCAGUUCAUUUUCAAUUCAAGACUUAAUUCCAUUUCCAACCAUUUAAUCAUCCUCUGAUGGAACUACAGUAAAAAAGACCUAGGUACAUGGGAAUAUUUUGCUGACACUGUAACGAACUUACUCACAAAAGUUGACUUUAUAUUGGAAUUGUUCACACAAGUUAACUUUGUAAUUUAUAUAAUGUAAAAUUUAAGAUUUUUAUAUUAUGUAAAUCAAAGCUUAAUAUUGCAUAACUAAUUAGUUUUGAGUUUUCAAAAUAAUAUGGCUUUAUAAAGAUAUAGAAUUCUUGAUAUAAGUCUUAACAAGGGAAAAAUUAAGGAUAGGAAAAUUGUGGUGGAAAGGGGGUCAAUUUCUCCUAAACAGGUGGAGAUCUGGAGAAGGAUAAGAGAAGGAAGAUGGUUGAUGUGAAGGCUAAGAGUAAUUGUUAAAGGUUGCUAACAGGGAGGAUCCCUUUCUCAUGAAGAUGAUUUUUAAACACCGUGUUAAUUGUUUAUGGGCCAUCAUGUUUGACGAUAAUUUUUAAAUACUGUGUUAAUUGUAUAUAGCACAUCAUGUUUGACAAUAAAUUUUAAAGACUUUUAAACGUCGCAUUAAUUGUUUAUGGCCCAUUGCCCAUGUUGCUUUUAUUAAAAUUUGGGUAAACUAUAAGUUAAUCACUUAAUUUUUAUAAAAUUUCAUUUUGGUCUCAGGAUAAAACAAAAAUUAGGAUAAAUGUAAUGUUGAAAUGAAUAUAGUGGGAAUCUUUAAUGUUUAUGGCCAAACCCCACCUCUCCUAUCCUAUACUUCAUCUAUCAUAAUGAUUCUUGGCUUCUUCUACAAUUGCCUUCACAAAAUGAAGCUGACAUUUGAGGUUGUCCUUCAUUUACUUUUGUUUUCUUCCUAUGAUAUAAAUGCAAGUAGAAUAUAAAUUAUACAUUUGUAAUUAGAUUGAAAAAUAAUUGACACUUGAUUUGAUUGUGAAAGAAGUUUUAGUUUAAUGAAAUGAAUGAGUUAAAUUUUAAAUUUAUAAUAUUUAACUUGAGUGUGAAUGAAUUUUUGACUUAAUUGAAAAUUGAAAAUUUUAUAAAUUUUGUUCAAAUUUAUUUUGAUUUAAUUCUCAUAUUGUAUAUUCUUAAUUAAAUUCGGAAUAUAUCAAUUUAGUCAUACAUUGUAACGAUGGAUUCGAAUUAUAGUUAAUUAUAUAUUGAAACUAAAAAUCUUAGAUUUUUAUCAACAUUUGCCGCCUCAUUUAUGGUGAAUGGUAUAUUUCCCAUUUGGUCCCCCUUUCUUUUUAUUAAUCUAUAAUUCUACUUCUACCCCCAUUCAAUUUAGCCCUUUUUCCUAAUUUCUCUUAAUUAAGCUAAAUUCACUUAAUUAAAGCCUAAUUAAACACACAACUAGCCUCACAAAUAUUCUUAAUAAAUACUUACGAACUCGGUUCACUAAGACGGAGGCCCUAUAACUCACUUUUCUAGUGCCCGUGAAUUUUGGAUCAUUACACCUUCUUCCGUGGACGACAUUUUUAGGCUGAGCGGUUCGAAGUAAUUAACAAGGUGAUUUUGUAAACUGUUUUUGGCUGAGUGAGUGAUGUUGGUGAAAAGGUGGCAAAAUGGCUACAAUGUUUCUAUAGCUUAUAAAAUGAACAUACGGAAAAUCUUUAAUUAAGAUUUAAAUGUAUAAAAGUAUAAAUUAUAAUAGUAAAAUUGUACUUUAAUCUUAUAAAUCGCAAUACUUUAAUUUAGUUAUUUAAAAAAUUAGAAAUAUAUUAGUUAAUAUAAUGAUAAAAUUACGUUUUAACUUUAUCAAAAUUUAUAACUUAAUUUCAAUCCAAAUUCUUACUUCACCCUUAUUUCCGCACUAAUAAAAGUUAUAAUCUGUGUUAAAUAUCGGAUUAGUAUAUGGAUGAUAUUAAAAAUAUAUAUAAAAAUAUAAAAUCUCUAAAAGCUUAAUCAACACACAUUCAGGUGUACGCUUUUAUUAAACUUUGAUUUUUUUAGUACGAGAUUAUCUGGAUUCUUUAAAAUAAUGUUAUGGAUAAGUUUUUGUUUAAUGUAUUGGUUGGUUUUUUUUUUUUUUCCUUUUAGAUUUGAUGAAUGAUAGAUUUUUGUUUGUGAAGUUUAUCUAUGAAUAUUUAUAUAAUUAUUAAUAAUUUUAUAUUUAAAAUUUAUUUAAUAUUUUAAAAUUUUAUCGAUAAUUUUGAAAGGAUAUAUAAAAACAAAUCGAUAUUGAUAUGUAUCAAUUUCUGUAGAAAAACGGUGCGUCCAUCAGUGCAAUACUAACUACCUUGGAUAAGAAAACAUUUAAUCCUUAAAUUUGGCAACUUUUCUCAACUUAGUCAUUAAACUUUUUUUUUAUCUACACUAGUCUUCUAACUUGACAACUUUUCUAAAUUUUGAUGCAUGUGAUGACAUCGCAUUCUGAUUUUGUAUCAUAGGGGUGUUCGAAUUUCGAUUAAAAUUGAAUUAACUGACCGAACCAAUCUAAUUCAGUUAAUCAGUCAGUUAAUCAAUCUAGUUCUAUCAGAGGUCGGUUAAAAGUUUUUUGGAAUUUCGGUUAAUGGUUAAUUUGAUUCGAAAUUAGGUAAUUAACUGAAUUACCCAAACUUAAUAAAUUAGACUUGUAGGCUAGGAAGCACAGACACGGCUCAUCCCUCCUCGUACCGGUAUCGUACGUGUGUCCGACACAGACACUCGACGGACAUGCCUAGAUACGUAUGGAACAAGCUGGAAUAUGCCAAAAAAAAUAUUUUUUUUAUUGCCAUAUCUUGCUGUAUCCGUGUCCUUAUUUUCUAAAAAUUACCAUGUUGCUGUGUCUGUAUCAUGUCGUACCCGUAUUGCGUGUCUGUAUCCAUGCUCCAUAGCUUGUAGGUAAGGGCCGAACAAAGAAUCCAGUAAGGCACUAGUCUAGAAUAAGGAGUUAGACCAAUUGAAUCGAGUUAAUGAAUUGAUUUUCUUUAUAUUUUUAAUAUAUCUUUAAUAUUUUUAAAAUUUUAUAUGAUUUAACCGAGUGGUUAAUCAAUAAAAAUUGAGAGUCUAAUAGAUUUAAAAAAAAAAAAAACCUUUUUAACAUAUAUAAACUCCAAAAAAAUAUUCUUUUUUAAAUUCCUUAAAUUACCUGUCCUGCUGAUGUGAUUCUGGCUUUUUAACAGUAUUGUUGGUGAACCCUACGGUUGCCUCCAUGAACUUUUUGUCAUCGUUCGAUCUUGUAAGCAAUUCAAGAACACGAAAAGGUAAUUGGUUUUCCAACAAGAACAGAUCCGAGUACUCAAAUGUCAGCAGUUCGUUUUUAAUAGACAAUUCGUUCGACAUAUGCUCAUAAUCUUGGCCAUCAACAUCAUCAUUACCGUAACGAUAUAAACUGCUUGUAAAAUUGUGCAGCCGUCAACGAGGAACAUCCAAGCCAGAUUCUCGUUAUCGUUGGUAUACUUAUCUAAUUCCUUUGGAUCAUAGCAUUUCUUCAAGUCAUCGAUCUCUGUCUUAAUGUUGUUGUACAAGGUUCCCCUAUCGACGCCAAUGUUUUUGACGAAAAGUGUUGUUAAUUUGCACUUGAGCUUCUUGGAUUCAUGGAGGGUGGGAUCAGCGUGGUGAGUGGACCGAUUGAGAUCACUUUCGGCUUGAAAUACUUCCUGAAAUCUUCGUGACGGCCAAGGGUUGAUGGGAGUCUUCGUAUCAAUGGUUUGGCUUUGGGGUCGAGUUGUUUGCCGUCGAAAGCUUCGUCUAAUGACCGGAGAUUCUCUAAUUCGCCAUUGCUGAGAGUGAGCUCCGUACCCGGCAUUGGAAUGAUCGUCUCUUGGGGAUUGUUGGUGGUGGUGUUUUUGGUGAUUGUUUGAUCAGUGGAAACUGCUCCGCCGGGAGCUCCGACGGCGCGGCCUCCUUUCUCCGUGGACGACAUUUUCAGGCUGAGCGGUUCGAAAAAAGGUGAUUUGGGAAACUGUUUUUGGCUGAAUGAGUGAUGUUGGAAAAAAGGUGGCAAAAUGGCUACGAUGACGACAAGUGUUUCUAUAGCUUAUAUAAUAAACGUAUGGAAAAUAUUUUGGUGUAAUAUUAAAUUUAACCCUUAAUAUUUAUAUUUUUUUAAUUUGAUUCUUAUUCUUUUUAAUUAAAUUUAAUUCUCUAUCUUUUGAAAGAGCCAAAUUUGAUUACCAAUCUUUUAGAAAAGAGUUGAAUUAAUAUUUUUUAAUGAAAACAGUGAUUAAAAUAUUAAAUUUGUAAACAUGACAACUCAUAUGGUAAUCCAUGUGUACAUAUUUUUUAUUUUUUAUUUUUAAAUAAUUUGUUGACGUGUGACAUAUAAGAAAAGCAGUGUUAUGUUAGCACGAAGUGCACAUGGAUUGCCACACGAGUUGUAACACCAACACCGUUAAAAAUUUAAUAUUUUAGUUAAUAUUUUUGUUAAAGAAAAACAAUUUAACUCUUUUUUGAAAGGUUAAUGACUAAAUUUAGCUCAAAUAAUAAUAAUAAAAGAACAGAGGCCAAUUUGGCAGAAAAAUGUAAAUAUCGAGGACUAAAGGCCAAUUUGAUAGAAAAAUGUAAAUAUCGAGGACUAAAUUUAUCAUUAUGUCAUUCUUUUUAAGGUUAACUUAUAUGAAUACAAUAUAAGUUCAAGUACAAAUAUAUGUAUGGAUUAAUCUAAAAAGAACUAGACAAAAUCCACACAUGAUAUACGCAUAUGAUGAGAGUAAAACUCACACAUCACAAUUAAGAAUAAUAUUAUAAAACCUAAAUACUCAGAGACUUAAAACCUUCGCAUUAACCAAAAAGUGAAGACCCCAUCAUAUGGAGAAUUUUAUAUCUACAUACGACAAUAUUUCUCGGAUUUCAUACGCUUAAUACUAGCUCUUCAAAUAUAUUCAUUUUUCAUUUUAUUACUUAAAAGUUAUUUUGAUUUACUUUAUAUUGAUUUCAAUCAUAUUGAUCCGUAGAUAUUGUUUCAAUAAGAAAUCGAAUUUUUUUUUUUAAAAUGAGAUGAUUUUGUUGUGGGUUUUUUAAAAUAGUGUUACGGAUAACUUUUUUGUUUAAUGUUUUGGUUGGCUUUUUUUUUUUUCUUUUUUUCGAAUUUUUGAAUGAUGAAUUUUGCAUGUAAAGAUUAUUGAUGAAUAUUUAUAUUUAUUUAAUUUCAUUCAUUUAAUGUUUUUAAAUCUUUUUUAUAUAUUAAAUAUUUUAGAAAUUUAUCGAUAAUUUCGAAAAGAUAUACAAAAACAGGCCAGUACUAAUAUGUAUCCGUUUUUGUAAAAAAAAUGUGCGUCCAUUAGUGUAGUACUAACUACCUUAGAUAAAAAACUGUUUAGUCCUUAAAUUUGGUAACUUUCCUCAACUUAGCACUUAAGCUUUUAUUUUAUCUACAUUAGUCUUCUAACUUUGACAGCUUUUCUCAAUUUCGAUGCAUGUGAUGACACAACACUAUGAUAUUGAGAUGCUAUCAUCUAAAAAUUAUAUUUUUAAUAAAAAUUAGGUGUUAACAUGGGAGAAACAUUAUUAUAAUAACCAAAAAUGAGAAAAGUUGUCAAUUUUCAUGAUUGAUGUGGACAGUGGUGAAGAUAAGGGGCUGGUAGGGGCAGAAAAUUUUUUUUCAUUUACGUCCUUUUAUAAUUUAUAAAAUUUUAAAUUAGUAGUGGUAAAAUUAUAUUUUGUCACCCAAAAAUGAAAAAAAUUAAUUUAAUCCUUUAAAAUGAUAAAGUUAUAGACUAUUAAAAUGGUAAAAUUACAUUUUUAUUAUCAUAAAAAUAUACAACUUAAUUCCGGCCCCUCCCAAAAAAAAUUUUGGCUUCGCCCCUGAAUGUGGACCAAAAAAGAAAGUCUAGAGACCAAAUUGAAAAAUUUUGUCAAAUUUAAGGAUUAAAUGUUGUCUUAUUAUUUUAUUUAACAAAAAGUGUGCUAUAUACACCAAAGUCUCGUAAUUGAAUAAUAAAAUUUCGAUGUUUUUAAGUAAAUCUUGAAUUUAAAUCUUAUGAAUAAAGAAAAUAAUACUAAAUAAAUUUUACUAUCUACUUACGAAUUCAACUCAAUUUCAAAUUUAACUACCAAAUAUCAAAGCUCUUAUAAAAAAAAAGGUAUUGUAAACUUUGUUGUAGUGUAUUUUAUUUUGAUCCAAAAUAGUGAAAAGGAAAUGCAUCCUAAAUUUAUUCAAACCAAAUUAUUAACUUUAAGUGUAAAUUGGGUAAGUGUAACAUAAUUGUUCUCUUUUUUUUUUUUAAUUUAGUCCUUUUCCUAAAUACAACAUAUAUUUUAUAAUAGAUAAUUGAAUUAAUUAAACCAUCAGUUCAUCGUUCAGUUCAACCUAAUGACGGAACGUAAGAGGAGAUUCCCUUCAAAAUUUUAGAAAAUUAUCACUAAAUUUUCUGAUUCAUGUUAGAAUUGACACAUUUAAUUAAAAAUAUUUAAACAUUAAAAUAAUCAAAAAGUCCCUAAGUUCAACUUACGGACGAAAAUUUUCAAAACUUGCCUUUAAUUUUCUCAAAAUUUUUGAUUAAAUCUCUUAAAUUUUAUUUUCAAAAAAAGAAUUUCAUUAAACACAAAAAAUUAAAUAGAUUGAAUCCAACAUCUAGGAGUUACAAAAUUCUCAUAAAUAACCAGAGUUUACAAUGAGAAUAGUAAACAACAAUUACUUUGGUUGAUGUAUGGUAUAAUAAGUCUGCAAAGCAGCAAUAAAAAGCCAGCAAUGGCACCCACAAAAGCGAAAAACGUCCAACGAGUCCUAAAAUAAGCAUGAUAAGCUUGAGCUAGAUAUUGAAUCCACAUAUUCUUACAAUGAUUAUGUAUUUUCUGUUUAACAUAACUGUAACUAGGAACCAAAUCAGUGUUCAUAUUCUUGAUAAGCUUAGCCACUUCUUCAUCACUCCUCAAUCUAUUGUAUAGUAUACCGGCGUCUCUCAGUUCCUUAACAUCUUCGACUUCAUCGAUCAAUGAAUCAAGGACACCCAAAUAUGAAGUGACGGUGAAAUCGUUUUUGAAAUCCAGACACAUUUCGUAAGCUAUUAAGUUCAUGGUUGAAUCAUCGACGGUGAUCGGCGGAAACCAUAAUUUCCCGACAAAGAACACAUGGUUGAAAUUUAUGUCGUUAAACAACUUGCUUCGCUUGCUUUUAACCAUAUCCCGGCCUUUUUAAGCUCUUUUACGUUACGAAAGGUGUGUGAAUGGUGCAGUUUUGUUCUUGUUUGGCUGCUGCGAUUUAACGUGCACAUGAAACGAGUGCAAAACCUAUAAUGCCGCCAUGGUUUUUCUUUUUUUCCUUUUUUGAAAAGAAGUCUUUCUCGUAGUAGAUUCAAUAGGUGAAUUCGCUGCUCUUCUUUUUGCUGCAGCCACCAUUCACUAGAGUAAAAACUGUGUUAGUCGGAAGCCAAGCUACAAUUUCUUUUCUUUAUUUUAUUUUAUUUGGAAUUGUAAAUUUUUAUCAAAACUAAAAUUAAGGUUUUUAAAAUGGAUAGUAAAACCAGUCAAAACAUCUAUUUAUAAGUUUAAUUUAUCCGAUCAAUUCAUCCAAUUUGAUUAAAUAAAUUAUUUCAAAUUUCAAUUCGAUUGUCCGGCUUAAUUAAUUUAUUUUCCCGAUUCAACCUGUUCAUAUAGGUUCCCAAAUCAAUUAGUCUAAUAACUUUCUUUGGACUGAUACCUCAAUUAAAUUCCAAUCCAAUCCGAUUCAAACAACUUUAGCUAAAAUACAAUUUUUAUUAUUGUAUUAAUGCAAAAAUUUUACCAUUUUUAAAGAUAUAAUUUUUCCUUUUUGAAAAGGUGGAUUUGAACUCAUAAUUUGUUGGCUUAAGCGUCUAAAAUCCCUCGUUUGAAAAAGCAAUUAAACCUUCUUCUUCUUUUUUCAUUCAUUUGGGUGCUUGAACUUUUAAAAUAAAUCAAAAAGGUCCUUAAACCUUUUUUUAAAUAAAAAAAGCAAUUAAGCCUCUACUUUUUUUUGCACACAAUUGGGUACUUUGACUUUCAAAAUGCAUCAAAAAGACCCUCAAAUUUUUUCAAAAAAAAAAGUUAAGCCCCUGCUUUUUAUUAAAAAUUAGAAAAAAUUUAUAAAAAGUUAAAAUUAAUAAAAGCUAUAAAUCUUGUCGAAACCGAUUUUUUGAAAAAAACAAAAUUUUUAGGUUGUCGACUUAAAAAAAAGAAAAUUGGGAGUCGCCACCAAUCUUUUAUUGAGGUGUGAUUGGAUCACCUAAAACGACUUUGGUUUACGAAUUUUAGAAAAACGGGUUCGGAAGUCGGUUACGUAUGAGGAAGGAUUAGCACCCUCAUUACGCCCAAAAAUUGGUACCUAGUUAAUUAAUUAAUGUCUUAAGGUCAAAAAUUUUAAAAAUAUAAUCUUUAAAAACUUAAAACGUUGCAUAUUAAGACCCUUUUCAAUUCAGAGAAGCAAAAAUNNNNNNNNNNNNNNNNNNNNNNNNNNNNNNNNNNNNNNNNNNNNNNNNNNNNNNNNNNNNNNNNNNNNNNNNNNNNNNNNNNNNNNNNNNNNNNNNNNNNNNNNNNNNNNNNNNNNNNNNNNNNNNNNNNNNNNNNNNNNNNNNNNNNNNNNNNNNNNNNNNNNNNNNNNNNNNNNNNNNNNNNNNNNNNNNNNNNNNNNNNNNNNNNNNNNNNNNNNNNNNNNNNNNNNNNNNNNNNNNNNNNNNNNNNNNNNNNNNNNNNNNNNNNNNNNNNNNNNNNNNNNNNNNNNNNNNNNNNNNNNNNNNNNNNNNNNNNNNNNNNNNNNNNNNNNNNNNNNNNNNNNNNNNNNNNNNNNNNNNNNNNNNNNNNNNNNNNNNNNNNNNNNNNNNNNNNNNNNNNNNNNNNNNNNNNNNNNNNNNNNNNNNNNNNNNNNNNNNNNNNNNNNNNNNNNNNNNNNNNNNNNNNNNNNNNNNNNNNNNNNNNNNNNNNNNNNNNNNNNNNNNNNNNNNNNNNNNNNNNNNNNNNNNNNNNNNNNNNNNNNNNNNNNNNNNNNNNNNNNNNNNNNNNNNNNNNNNNNNNNNNNNNNNNNNNNNNNNNNNNNNNNNNNNNNNNNNNNNNNNNNNNNNNNNNNNNNNNNNNNNNNNNNNNNNNNNNNNNNNNNNNNNNNNNNNNNNNNNNNNNNNNNNNNNNNNNNNNNNNNNNNNNNNNNNNNNNNNNNNNNNNNNNNNNNNNNNNNNNNNNNNNNNNNNNNNNNNNNNNNNNNNNNNNNNNNNNNNNNNNNNNNNNNNNNNNNNNNNNNNNNNNNNNNNNNNNNNNNNNNNNNNNNNNNNNNNNNNNNNNNNNNNNNNNNNNNNNNNNNNNNNNNNNNNNNNNNNNNNNNNNNNNNNNNNNNNNNNNNNNNNNNNNNNNNNNNNNNNNNNNNNNNNNNNNNNNNNNNNNNNNNNNNNNNNNNNNNNNNNNNNNNNNNNNNNNNNNNNNNNNNNNNNNNNNNNNNNNNNNNNNNNNNNNNNNNNNNNNNNNNNNNNNNNNNNNNNNNNNNNNNNNNNNNNNNNNNNNNNNNNNNNNNNNNNNNNNNNNNNNNNNNNNNNNNNNNNNNNNNNNNNNNNNNNNNNNNNNNNNNNNNNNNNNNNNNNNNNNNNNNNNNNNNNNNNNNNNNNNNNNNNNNNNNNNNNNNNNNNNNNNNNNNNNNNNNNNNNNNNNNNNNNNNNNNNNNNNNNNNNNNNNNNNNNNNNNNNNNNNNNNNNNNNNNNNNNNNNNNNNNNNNNNNNNNNNNNNNNNNNNNNNNNNNNNNNNNNNNNNNNNNNNNNNNNNNNNNNNNNNNNNNNNNNNNNNNNNNNNNNNNNNNNNNNNNNNNNNNNNNNNNNNNNNNNNNNNNNNNNNNNNNNNNNNNNNNNNNNNNNNNNNNNNNNNNNNNNNNNNNNNNNNNNNNNNNNNNNNNNNNNNNNNNNNNNNNNNNNNNNNNNNNNNNNNNNNNNNNNNNNNNNNNNNNNNNNNNNNNNNNNNNNNNNNNNNNNNNNNNNNNNNNNNNNNNNNNNNNNNNNNNNNNNNNNNNNNNNNNNNNNNNNNNNNNNNNNNNUACUAUAUAUAUAUAUAUAUAUAUAUAUAUAUAUUAUAUAUUUACGUUUCGUUUCGUCUCAAACUUAAAACCUUUUAAAAACGUUUUUAAGUUUUUUAAAUUUUGGUGCGGAACAAAAAAGUGAAUUGAAUUUAAAGUUGGAUCGAGUGAAUAAAUGGAUAGAGCUCCACGGCCCCAAUUAUAGGGAAACAAAAAGUAACGAGCUUCUGUUCUCAAUUUGAAUAAUUACCUAAUCUAAUUAAACUUUAAAAAGAAAUUAGUGCCUAAUGUGGUAAAGGUUUUUCUCAUGAGUAAAUUCUCGGUUUUUUUUGAGUCCUAAUUAUUAUUAUUAGGCAUUCCCUUUAUGGGUUAGCCAUGAAUGUGUAGAAGAAGCAGUAUAUUGAUAAAGAAAAUAACUUUUUUUCUAAAAUCAAAAGAGCGAUUGGGUUGAAAAAAUAAAGGAUUUCUAACCGUCAUAUAUGUUGAUUCAAAUAUAAUUCAUACCAAAAUAAAAUUGAUUAUUAAGUUAAAAUAAAAUUUAGGAUGUGAAAGAAGUUCAAAAAAAAAAUUAAUGCAAAAGAAAGAUAAGGGUAUUUUUUUUAGGUCAUGGAUGUAACAACGAAGCUCGGUUAUUGUUGGUGUUGUAUGGAAGAAUCGAAGAUGUUGUGAAUGAGUUUUUAGGGUUUUAAAGUUUAACAUUGAAAGAUUGUUGUUUGUGGGUAUGUGACUGUUUUCGAUGUAAGGAAUGGUAUAAAAAAAUUACGAUUUAGGGUUUUAUUAUAUAAAUAAAGAAAGCGCCUUUUAAGAUUGUUAGAGGCACCUAUCUUUGUUUUUAGUGUAUGUAUCAUGGUCCUGAUGAUGCGGUACAAGUUUAGUUCUUUUGAGUGUGUCUUGUGAUGUGAAGUCUGUUUUGUUGGGGCUCUUGGCUCCUAUGUUUCAAUGAUAAUAAAAUAUACGUCAAACAAAAUUCUCACAAAAAACAGAGUUUACAAAACGACUAGUAAACAACACUUACUUUGGUUGAUGUAUGGCAUAAUAAGUCUGCAAAGCACCAAGCAAAAGUGCAGUAAUGGCACCCACAAAUGCCAAAAACGUCCAAGGACUCCUAAAAUAAGUAUGAUAAGCUAGAGCUGCAUGCUUAAUCCGCAUAUUCUUACAAUGAUUAUGUAUUUUCCGUUUAACCCCACCGUAAAUCAUCGGACUAGGAACCAAAUCAGUGUUCAUCUUAUUGAAAAGGUUAGCCACUUCUUCAUCACUCCCCAAUCCGUUGUAUAGUAUGCCGGUGCCACUCAGGUCUUUAACAUCUUCGGCUUCAUCGAUCAAUAAAUCAAGGAAACACAUAUAUGAAGUGACAGUGAAAUCGUUUUUGAAAUCCGGACACAUUUCGUAAGCUAUCAAGUUCAUGGUUGAAUCAUUGACGGCGAUUGGCGGUAAACAUAAUUUUCCAACGAAGAUACGGUUGAAACAGAUUCGUAGUAGAUUCAGUAGGUGAAUUGGACUUGCAGCUUCCACCAUUACCAUUUUCUAGAGCUAAAUCUGUGUCAAGUCAUCGAUUUAUAAGUUUAAUUGAUCCGAUAUAUUCAUAUUUGUUGAUUAAAUAAAUCAUUAAAAAUUUUGAUUUUAUUAUUUAGUUCAAUAAGUUUUUUUUUUUUUUUUACAAUUCAACCUGAUUCUUAGGUCAAUCGAUCUAAUGACUUUCUUUAAACUCAUACCUCAAUUAAUUUUCAAUCCAAUAUAAUCCAAACAACAUUUGGUAAAAUAUAAUUUUAUUUUACCAUUUUGAAAAGUUGGAUUUGAAAAUGCACACUCAACAGGAUCAAUACAAAGGGACAGGCGAGGUCGUUCUCAAAAAUAGAAAAUUAUAUUUUCAUCCUUUUUAAAUUAUUAAAUUAUAAAUUUAUAUAAUAAAAUUACACUUUAACCUUUUAAAAUGAAAAAAAAAAUUGUUCAACCUUUUUAAAACUGAUGAAAUUAUAAAUUAAUAAAUGAAAAAAAAAGAGAAUGAGACGAAACUUGUUGAUCAAGCUAGUUGGAUAGAGAAUUAAGUAAAGGUGCUCAUGGGUAAGGUUGAACCCAAUAAAAGAUUUAUGCCUCAGCUUGGCCCACUCGUUUUAAUUUUUUUAAAAUUUUUUAAAUAUUUUUAUAUAAUUUUUAAAUAUAUAUGAUACAUUAAAAAUACUAAAAAACAUUAAAAUAAAUAUUUCCCAACAAACUAAAUUUUUUUUAAAAAUAUGUAUACUUAAAUAACAUUAAAGUAGACACUGUGAAAUGGUAGUAAAAUAGGAAGAAAAUGACAAGAAACUAGCAUUAAAACAAUAAAAAAAUAACAUAUUUUUUUGUCCUUUUGUGAUUCGGGCUAGGGUUGGGCCAAAAAUGUCUUACCCGAGACUUGGCCUAUUUUCAAAACUAGAUUUUUUUUUGCCUAAGUCAAUUUUUUAGGUCUAUAUUUUUACUUAAACCCUUAUAUUUCUCGGACGAGCCAAAUGACCCAAUCUAUGAGUAAGUCUAGAAUCAAGCAAGAUACUGGUCCAGAAGAAAAGGAUAGACAAAUUGAAUCGAAUAGUAAAAUCGAUUUUUUUAUAUUUUUAAUAUAACUUUAAUAUUUUUUAAGAUUCUAUAUAAUUUAAACGAAUGAACUAUUCAACCGAAAAUGAGGAUCUAAUCGAUUCCAUCACCUAGUUAUAAAAAUCUUUAACACUUAUAAACUCCACAAAAUAUUCUUUUUAAAAUUCCUUAAAUUACCUGUCCCGCUGAUGUGAUUGUGGCUCUUUUAUCUCGGCUGGGUUGACAACAGUGUCGUCGAUGAACCUUUUGAUUGAAUCCAUGAACUUUUUGCCAUCCCCCGAGCUUGUAAGCAAUUCAGGAACACGAAAAGGUGAUUGGUUUUCCAACAAGAACAGAUCCGAGUACACAAAUGUCAGCAAAUCGUUUUUAAUGAAAUUCGUUCGACUUACGAUCAUAAUCUUGGCCGUAACGCAUAUAAACUGCUUGUAAAAUUGCGCAGCCGUCAAUUCCUUUGGAUCAUAGCUUUUCUUCAAGCCAUCCGGCUCUGUCUUCAUGUUGGUAUCAUUAUCGAUGCCAAUUUUUUUAACGAAAUUUGCUGCUAAAUUGAGCUUGAGCUUCUCGGACUCGUGGAGGGUGGGAUCAUCGUGGUGGAGUGGGCCAAUUGAGAUCACUUUCGGCUUGAAAUAUUUCCGGAAAUCUUCGUCACGGCGAAGGGUUGCUGGGACUCUUUUGUCAAUAGUUUGGCUUUGGGGUCGAGAUGGUCCCCUUCGAAAGCUUCGUCUAAUGACCAGCAAUUCCGUGAUUCGCCAUUGCUGUGAGUGAAGUCCGUACCCGGUAUUGGAAUGAUCGUCUCUAGGGGAUUGUUGUUCGUGUUGUUAUUGAUGACUGUUUGAUCAGUGGAAACUACUCCACCGGGAGCUCUGACGGCGCCGCCUCCUUCUGUAACACCCCUAUACCAUGUUUGACUUAAGGAACCUAAUAUAAGAAUAUUACAUUUGAUGCCAAAGUAAUUCUUGGCUAAUUACUAUUAUAUUUGAACAUAAAAACAGACAAAUAAUAAAUUUAAAUAAUUUAUAUUUAAAUCUAUUACUACUACUUGGGACAUAAUUUUUUUUAAGUACAUGCCAUUCUAUUCAAAAUUUUAAAACAUACCCGUUGUUGCUUGAAGAUGUGAUGAGAUGAAAGCUUACAAUCUCAAAUUCGACUCUCAAAAAUUUAUGUACCUAAUUUGCGCAAGGAAACAAAUCGUACAAUGAGUAUACACCCAGUGUUAUUACUAUAAUUCAAAUACUUAAGGUAAAAACAAUAUAUAUACACAUUAAAUCUUACCACUAUUUUACCUUCAAUAAAUCAUUCAUGCAUUUAAACUUUAAAUUUAUUCUAAUAAUAUGUAUCUUAAAUAGCUUUUCUUUAUUUUAAUUUAUAUAUCUACUUAUUAUAUCAAUAUUCAUUUCAUGCAUUUCAUCAAUAACCAUUUCAUAAAACUAUUAUUUCAUAUAUUUCAUUUCUAUAUCCUAAUUCAAUAAUUUAUUCUAUUCCAUAUCUAAAACCUUACAACAUUAGUCUUUCAAUAAUUAUUUAAACCAACAUUUUUCAAUAAAAAUAAUUAUAAUUAAUUCAUAAGAUUAUAUCCAACUAACUCAUACACUAUUUCAUUAUUUCCUAUUCAUUCUAUUUUCACUUCUUAUUUCGAUAUCUCAAUUUCAAUUCACAUUUCAAUUCAUAAUUUCACUUUCUCAUACUUUCAAUAGCUCAAUCCAUCAAUUCAUUUGAUUUUUUCAUUUCAUUUAUUCAACUGAUUUCAAAAUCAAUAAUUCGAUAUUUUAGCAAAUUCAUGAACCUUAUGUUCAUGCUUCAAAUCUCGCAUCUUAAUGCCGUUCACAAUUCAACUCAUAAUUUCUUUCUCAUAUCUCUAAAAGUACGAUCAAUCAAAUUUAUUUAAUUUUCUCAUUUCAGUUAUUCACCUUAUUAACAAACCCGGACUUUGACGGAUACACGAAUUCCAACCCAAACACACCAGUACGGCAUAUUGUGCCUAAAACGGUACAUAGUACCUGAUCAGUAUACGACACAUAAGUGCCUGAAAUGACACACGAGGUGCCUAAUAUGACACACGAGGUGCCUGAAAUACGCAAAGCCGAUAUAUCCCGGACUCUUAUAAAUCCUAUGGCAUGCCAAUUAUAUCCGACUUAGCCCGACUAGAUAAUAGGGUAUUUCAAUUCUCAAUUCACUUUCAUUUCCAAUUCAAUAUCACUUUUCAAUUACAAUUUCUCAUUCAAAUCAAUAUACAAUUCAAUUGUACAUACACAUUCAUCAUUCAAUUCAAUUCUCAUUCAUUUCAAAAUCAAUUUUUCACUUUCUAAUCAAUAAACAAUUCAAUACCAAUACAUAUUUCAGAUAAUCACAUAUAAUCAUAUUUCGAUUCAAUUCAAACCACUUUUCAAUCAAUACACAAUUCACAUAUUCACACAUAUUCAUAAAUUAAUUCACUUUUAUUUAAUUCAUAUUUUUAAUUCGUUUUCCAAUCAAAUUCAAAUCACUAAUUACUUUUCAAUCAAUAUACAUUUCAAAUACUCACAUAUUUUCUUCAUUCAAUUCAAUUUGAUUCAAUUAAAAUCACUUUUAGUUUCCAAUCAAUAUAAUUUCAAAUAUUCACAUAAUUCGUAAUUCAAUUACUUAAAUCACUUUUAAUUUCCAAUUUGUUCACAUUCAAUUUCAAUAGCCAUAAACAUUUUUGAAUCAAUUUCAUUCAAAUCAAUAUCAUCAUUUCAAUUGCUUACCUAAUUUUAUUUGCCAUGCAUUUUAAUUCAAAUAUAACAAUUAAUAAUAAAUAGAUUUGAAUUAUAGUAGUACAAACCCGGAUUUGUUCGAUUACUCCUCGAUAACUUUUCCUUUCUUUUCGGUGCCGAUGCCUCGAUUUCUUUGGUAACUACAAAAAUAAUAAUAAUAAUUUACACUUAUUAAUAACAGCACUAAUUUAUAAUAAUGAUUGAAUUUCUAUUCAAUUUAUAUCCUAAUUCCAAUUUAAUCCUAAUUAACUCAUUUACUUUUAUAAUUCAAUUCAUACUUCAUUUCGAUUCAAUUUCCUUCCAUAUUUCACUUAACUAUCUAAUGUUCAUAAUAAAAUUAUAAUUUAAAAUUUCUUUCAAUUUAGUCCUUUAAACACAAAACUUAUAGCUUCUUUUACAAUUCAAUCCCUUACCAAAUAUAACUUGAAAUUCAUUCAAUUAAAUCCCUAAUUCAUCUUUUUGUUCAACAUGAACUAUACUUAUAAACCUAUGAACUUUCAAAGUAUCAACUUAAUUUCAUCAAAACCUUGUUCUAAAGCUUCUAAAACAUCAAAAUUAAGUAAAAAGGACUUAAUUGACUUACCUAUUAAAGUUUUAACCUUCAAACCCUAGUUUUUCCCCAUUUUCUUUUCUUUCCCUUUUCUUUCUUCUUGUUUUCGAAUGGCUUCUGCUAUUCUUUCUUUUGCUUUCUUUCUUUAUUUCAUUUCAUUUAUAUAUAUAUAUAUAUAAUAUUAGUUAAUAAUGAUAAUAAUGAUAAUAAUAAUUAUAAUAAAUAUCUUUUAAUAACACAUAUUUACAUUACAUUUGUCACCACUUAAUUUGUUUAUCGUAUACAAAAAUCUUAUAAUAUAAUUAUUUAAUUAAUAACUAUCUUUUACUUAAUUUUCAAGUAAAUAAAUAAAUAUAAUACAAAUGUAUAUAUUUACAUUAUUUCAAUUGUCACUAUCCAAUUUUUUUAUUAGUUAUCUAAUAAAUAUCUUUUACUUAGUAAUAAUAAAUAAUAAAUAUCUAUUUACUAAUUAAAUAUAAGUAUUACAAAUGUACAUAUAUUUUUUUUUACAAGUGUACAAUAUCAUCACCACCCAUUUGGCAAAAUUUUGAUUUAUUCAUAUAAUAUAAUAUAAUAUUUUUAAUUUAUAACUAAUAUAAAUUGCCAUAUAAUAAAAUAAUUAUAUACAUAAUAAUUUAAUAAUAAUUAAACAAUAAAAAUUUUAGAUUUUUAUCAACAUUUGCCGCCUCAUUUAUGGUGAAUGGUAUAUUUUCCAUUUUGGUCCCCCUUUCUUUUUAUUAAUCUAAUCUAGCCCUUAAUAUUUAUAAUUUUACCAAUUUGAUUUUUAUUCUUUUUAGUUAAAUUUAAUUCUCUACCUAGUGUCAAAUUUGACUAUUGAUCUUUUAGAAAAUUGUCGAAUUAAUGUUUUGUUCUUUGCUUUCAAUUUGGUUCUGUUCUUAAGCAAAUUUCUGCUUUGUUUCUUCUCCAAGUCACGAGUCUUGUUGUUCAAGUCAUAGCUGAACUAGCUUGCUUGUUGUUCAUAACACCAACAGCCUGUUCUCGGCUGGGUUGAUAACAGUAUCAUCGAUGAACCUCCGGAUUGCAUUCAUGAACAUUUUGCCAUCACCCAAGCUUGUAAGCAAUUCAAGAACACGAAAAGGUAAUUGAUUUUCCAACAAGAACAGAUCCGAGUACAAAAAUGUCAGUAAAUCAUUUUUAAUUAACAAAUUACCAUCAUCAUCAUCAUUAUCGUAACGCAUGUCAACUGCUUGUAAAUUUGCGCAGCCGUCAACGAUGAACAUCCAAGCCAGUUCCUCGUUAUCGUCUCUAUACUUCUCUAAUUCCUGUGGAUCAUAGCAUUCCUUCAAGCUAUCCAUCUCUUUCUUAAUUUUUCUGUACAAGGAUUUCUUAUCGACGCCAAUUUUUUUGACGAAAUGUGCUGCUAAUUUGAGGUUGAGCCCCUUGGAUUCACGGAGGGUGAGAUCAUCGUGGUGGAGUGGGCCGAUUGAGAUCACUUUCAGCUUGAAAUACUUCUUGAAAUCUUCGUUACGGAGAAGGGUUGAUGGGACUUUUUGUAUUAAUGGUUUGUAUCUAAGGGUGGGUUGGCCACCAAAAGCUUUGUCUAAUGACUGGAGCUUCGCUACUUCGCCAUCGCUGAGAGGGACGUCGGUGAACCACAUAUCAAUUCCCACGUAAUCGUUGUUGGUGUUGUUGUCGAUGAUUGUUUGAUUAGUGGAAACUGCUCCGGCGGCGCUGCCUCCUUCCUCCAUGGACGACAUUUUCAGGCUGACCGGCUCGAAGUAAUUAACAAGGUGAUUUUGAAAACUUGUUUUGGCUGAUUGAGUGAUGUUGGAAAAAAGGUGGCAAAAUGGCUACGAUGAUAACAAAUCUUCUAUAGCUUACAUAAAGAGGCGAAUAUAGGGGAAUGUAAAAUUGUUAUUUAGGCCCUUAAUAUUUUUUAAAAUUUUAAAUUAGUAAAAGUGAAAUUACAUUUUGGCCUUAUAAAAUUAUAAAAAUUCAAUUUAAUCUUUUAAAAAUUAUAAAGAUAUAGACUACAAAAAAUUAAAAUCUCAUUCGAUCCACCCUAAAAAAUUAUUCGGGCUUCGCCACUGCUUACAUAAUAAACAUAUGGAAAAUACUUUUGGUGUAAUUCAAAUUUACCCCUUAUAGUCAAUUUAAUUUUCAUUUUUUUAAUUUAAUUUUCUAUCUUUUGGAAGAGUUGAAUUUAACUAUCAAUUUAAAUUAAUAUUUUUUGACGAAAAUAGUGACUAAAAUAUUAAAAUAUUAAACAUGACAACUCAAACGGCAAUCCACAUCUAUAUGUUUUUUUAAUUUAUUUCUUAUUUUUAAAUUAUUUAUUGAUGUGACAUAUAAUAAAAGUAUUGUUAUAUUAGCAUGAAGUACACAUGGAAGGCCACACGAGUUGUGACACCAAUAUCGUUAAAAAUUAAUAUUUUAGUUAGCAUAUCUGUUAAAGAAAAGCAAAUGAACUCUUUUUUCAAAGGUUAAUGGCUAAAUUUAGCUCAAAUGAAAAAAAAAAAAAGGCCAAUUUGAUAAAAAAGGUAAAUGUCAAGAGUUAAGUUUAACAUUUAUACAAGUACAAAUAUAUGUCUGGAUUAAUCUAGAAAGAACAAGACAAAGUCUACAGGUGAUAUACAAAUGUGAUGAGAGUGGAACCUGCACAUCACAAUUGAGAAUAAUAUUAUAGAACCUAAAUACUCAAAAACCUAAAACCUUCCCCUUAACCAAGAAGCUAAGACGCCAUGGAUAAUUUUAUAUCUACAACACUUAUGAAUUUCAUAUGCUUAAUAAUAGUUUACAAAAAGACAAGUAAAGAACACUUACUUCGGUUGAUGUAUGGUAUAAUAAGUCUGCAAAGCAGUAAGAGUAAGUGCAGCAAUGGCACCCAAAAAUGCUAAAAACGUCCAAGGACUCCUAAAAUAAGUAUGAUAACCUUGAGCUGCAUGAUUAAUCCACAUAGUCUUACAAUGAUUAUGUAUUUUCUCUUUAACCCCACUGUAAAUUGUCGGACUAGGAACCAAAUCAGUGUUCAUCUUAUUGAAAAGCUUAGCCAUUUCUUCAUCACUGCCCAAUCCAUUGUAUAGUAUGCCGGAGUCUCUAAGGUCUUUAACAUCUUCGGCUUCAUCGAUCAAUAAAUCAAGGAAACACAUAUAUGAAGUGACGGUGAAAUCGUUGUCGAAAUCCGGACACAUUUCGUAAGCUAUUAAGUUCAUGGUUGAAUCAUCGACGGAGAUCGGCGGUAACCGUAAUUUUCCGAAGAAGAAGAUAUGGUUGAAACUGAUGUCGGUUAAAUUACUUGUUUCGCUGGCUUCUAACCAUAUCCCGGCCUUUUUAAGCUCUUUUACGUUACCAAUGGUGCGUGAAUGGUACCGUUUUGUUCUUUUUCUUCUUGCUGCUGCUUUGCCAAAUCCGUGUCGAGUGAAUUCCCAAAGAAAACACCAGCACCGUAUUCGUACUUUUCUGAGAAGGAGUCUUUCUCGUAGUAGAUGCAAUAAGUGAAUUCGCUCUCCUUCUUUUUGCUGCUUCCACCACCAUUCCCUACACCAAAAUCUGUGUUAGUCGGAAGCCAAGCUACAAUUUCUCUUUUCUUUUUUUCUUUUUUGUUGUUGGAUUUGGAAUUGUUAAUUUAUAUGAAGCUAAAAUUAAGAUUUUCAAAAUAAAUAAUCCAACGAUUAAGUUAUUCAAUUUACUUAAUUUAAUUGAAUAAAUUAUUAAAAACUUCGAUUCGAUAAUACGGUUUAAUUAAUUUUUUUUACCCUGUUUAUAUAAAGUUUUAAAUCGGUUAAUCUACUCCGAAUUGAUAAUUCAAUUAAUUUUCAAUCCAAACCCAUUCAAACAAUAUUAACUAAAAUACAAUUUUUAUUGUUGUAUUAAUGCAAAAAUCUUACCAGUUUUAAAACAUUAAACUUUUCCAUUCUGAAAAGUUGGAUUUGAAAUCAUAAUUUUUAAUUUCUAAAAAUGAACACUCAAGGAUAAAUGUAAAACGACAGGCAGGGGUCGUUCCCAAGAAAUGAAAAUUUACACUUUAAUCUCUUUUAAAUUUAUUAAAUUAUAAUAAGUCCUCAAAUUAAAAAAUAAUAAUUGUUCAAUUUAAAAAAAAUAAAAUCAUAAAUUAAUACAAAAAAAAUUAAAAAUCAAUCAGGUUGAAUAAAAAAUUAAAUAAAAUUGAAGUUACACCAAUUGAAUUAAAGAAUCAAAUAAAUUUCUUUUUAUAUUUUUAAUAUUUUUAAAAAAUUAUAUAAUUAAAUUGAAUAAACUAAUCAACCAGAAAUGAGAGUUUAAUAGAUUCCAUCACUCAUGUAGUUAUAAAAACCUUUUAACAUUUAUAAACUGCACAAAAAUGAUGAUUUAUUUAAUUCCCUAAAUUACCUGUCCUCGCCUGGGAUGAUAACAGUUUCGUCGAUGAACCUUUGGAUUGCAUUCAUGAACUUUUCGCCAUUUUUUCUAGGCCUUGUAAGCAAUUCAAGAACACGAAAAGGUAAUUGGUUUUCCAACAAGAACAGAUCCGAGUACACAAAUGUCAGCAAAUCGUCUUUAAUAAACAAUUUACCAUCAUUAUCAUCACCAUUAUCAUCAUCACCGUAACGCCUGUAAACUGCUUGUAAAAUUGCGCAGCCGUCAACGAAGAAAAUCCAAGCCAGUUUCUCGUUAUCGUUGCUAUACUUCUCUAAUCCCUUUGGAUCAUAGCAUUUCUUUAAGUCAUCAAUCUCUUUCUUCAUGUUGUUGUACAACGUAUCCUUAUCGACGCCAAUUUUUUUGACGAAAAGUGCUGCUAAUUUGAGCUUGAGCUUCUCGGAUUUCCGGAGGGUGGGAUCAUCGUGGUGGAGUGGGCCGAUUGAGAUCACUUUCGGCUUGAAAUACUUCCUGAAAUCUUGGUGACGACCAAGGGUUGAUGGGACUCUUUGUAUCAAUGGUUUGGCACCGAGGUUGAUUUCGUCGCCGUCGAAAGCUUCGUCUAAUAACCGGAGAUUCGCUACUUCUCCAUCUCUAAGAGGG
rnacentral:lncRNA from 1 species